rnacentral:rRNA from 1 species
AACACAAACAACUCUCGGCAACGGAUAUCUCGGCUCUCGCAUCGAUGAAGAACGUAGCGAAAUGCGAUACUUGGUGUGAAUUGCAGAAUCCCGUGAACCAUCGAUUCUUUGAACGCAAGUGGCGCCCGAAGCCAUUUGGCCGAGGGCACGUCUGCCUGGGCGUCACGCAUG